AUUGAACGCUGGCGGCAGGCCUAACACAUGCAAGUCGAACGGUAGCACAGAGGAGCUUGCUCCUCGGGUGACGAGUGGCGGACGGGUGAGUAAUGUCUGGGAAACUGCCUGAUGGAGGGGGAUAACUACUGGAAACGGUAGCUAAUACCGCAUAACGUCGCAAGACCAAAGAGGGGGGCCUUCGGGCCUCUUGCCAUCAGAUGUGCCCAGAUGGGAUUAGCUAGUAGGUGGGGUAAUGGCUCACCUAGGCGACGAUCCCUAGCUGGUCUGAGAGGAUGACCAGCCACACUGGAACUGAGACACGGUCCAGACUCCUACGGGAGGCAGCAGUGGGGAAUAUUGCACAAUGGGCGCAAGCCUGAUGCAGCCAUGCCGCGUGUAUGAAGAAGGCCUUCGGGUUGUAAAGUACUUUCAGCGGGGAGGAAGGCGAUACGGUUAAUAACCGUGUCGAUUGACGUUACCCGCAGAAGAAGCACCGGCUAACUCCGUGCCAGCAGCCGCGGUAAUACGGAGGGUGCAAGCGUUAAUCGGAAUUACUGGGCGUAAAGCGCACGCAGGCGGUCUGUCAAGUCGGAUGUGAAAUCCCCGGGCUCAACCUGGAACUGCAUUCGAAACUGGCAGGCUUGAGUCUUGUAGAGGGGGGUAGAAUUCCAGGUGUAGCGGUGAAAUGCGUAGAGAUCUGGAGGAAUACCGGUGGCGAAGGCGGCCCCCUGGACAAAGACUGACGCUCAGGUGCGAAAGCGUGGGGAGCAAACAGGAUUAGAUACCCUGGUAGUCCACGCUGUAAACGAUGUCGACUUGGAGGUUGUGCCCUUGAGGCGUGGCUUCCGGAGCUAACGCGUUAAGUCGACCGCCUGGGGAGUACGGCCGCAAGGUUAAAACUCAAAUGAAUUGACGGGGGCCCGCACAAGCGGUGGAGCAUGUGGUUUAAUUCGAUGCAACGCGAAGAACCUUACCUACUCUUGACAUCCACGGAACUUGCCAGAGAUGGCUUGGUGCCUUCGGGAACCGUGAGACAGGUGCUGCAUGGCUGUCGUCAGCUCGUGUUGUGAAAUGUUGGGUUAAGUCCCGCAACGAGCGCAACCCUUAUCCUUUGUUGCCAGCGGUUAGGCCGGGAACUCAAAGGAGACUGCCAGUGAUAAACUGGAGGAAGGUGGGGAUGACGUCAAGUCAUCAUGGCCCUUACGAGUAGGGCUACACACGUGCUACAAUGGCGCAUACAAAGAGAAGCGAACUCGCGAGAGCAAGCGGACCUCAUAAAGUGCGUCGUAGUCCGGAUCGGAGUCUGCAACUCGACUCCGUGAAGUCGGAAUCGCUAGUAAUCGUGGAUCAGAAUGCCACGGUGAAUACGUUCCCGGGCCU
rnacentral:rRNA from 1 species